rnacentral:rRNA from 1 species
UGGGGAAUAUUGGGCAAUGGGGGGGAACCCUGACCCAGCGACGCCGCGUGAGGGAAGACGGCCUUCGGGUUGUAAACCUCUUUUGUACGGGAAGAAGGAAGUGACGGUACUGUACGAAUAAGUCCCGGCUAACUACGUGCC